CUUCAGUUUAUUUUUGACAAAAACUUGCCGUCUAUCAUUGAAUUUGCCAUCUUGCAUGACUAGUGUUAAGAUUAAAAAUAAUCUGUAAUUAGGGAAAUCUCCCCUUGUCCAUCGAGCGCACGGUUGCUCUCUCUCUCUCUCGAACCGUCGCCGUCUCCCUGGAACCGACGCGUCCCUCCUCUGGACCGUCGUGUCCCUCCAAGGGAGAUAUAAACCCCCCCUGUAACCAUCGCCAAGAUUGAUCGUUUGUCUGAUUCAAAACACGUUAUCACGCACGCUAGAACUACCAACGAGCGAAACAACAGAGGAAGAGAGGUUCGCCGACGGUGAGAUGACAGACCUCACCCUUUUCUUCCUUAGCCUGAUCCGCGAGGAUGGUCGCCGCUACCGUCGUCGCCAUCAUGGUGUGGGUGGUUUCCGUCGCUACUGUCGUCGGAUGCAUGCCAUCCGCCAGUUCGGCCGCCACCGCGCCGCUGGACGUGGUGCUUCUGGCCGCCACGACGCCACUGGACGCGCCCCCGGCGGUGCUCCCUUCGCCCCUGGACACGCCCACGGCGGUGCUCCUUGCGUCCGUGGCCAGGCGCCCAUGGGGUUCGACCCCUGGCUUCUGGCAGGCCCGAGCGCCUCCAUGGUGCACAGGAAUGCAGCCGCGCCUGCACCACCCCCUGGUUCUCCGCCUCCACCCCCUCCUCCGCCAGCCGCUUGGAUCCCGCCAUCGACGCCGACACCUGACGCCAUGGUUGCUGGCUCGAGCCGAGGCCCGCCUGGCUAUGCCCCAGUGCCGAUGUGCUCGGUGGUGAACGAGGAGGAGGCGCUCGCCUUUGUCUCCGUGCCGACCGGUGCCUCCGGGGUCGUCCGCCUCGGGGUCGGGAUGGAGGGCGCCGACGCCACCGCCCCGCCACCACUGGUAACCACCGCGGGCUCGAGCAGCCGCGUGGAGAGGCGCUUUGGCCGACUCUUCGGACGCGCCGUCUCCGCCGUCGACCGCCGUCCCGGCCACCGCGCUGGCUCGUGGGCUCCGGCGACCCUCGGCCUCGCCAGCGCUGCGCCAGAAGGGGCUCGCCAUCAACCCGUCGUCGCCUCUUCUUCGGACGAGGAGUGCUCGACGGGGCUGCGCCGGUGACCAUCGGAGAUGCAAGGGGAGGCGCGGCGCUUGCUCACAUCGGCGGCGGCUGCAGCUCCCCGCGCGGUGGAGGGGAUCGAGUGGUGGAGGGGAUAGAAUGGUGGUUUGGGUCGGGGCUUGACCCUUAUCCACGACCGCCUCAUCCCCUCGCCUCCUCUCUGAUGCGGUGGGAUGGUUGUGGGCCAGUUUCGGCUGGUUGUGGGCCGGCUUCGGCUGGCUGUUGCAGCCCAGGCCCAGGCGACCGGCCUGCUCCCUUGAUUGAUUUUUUUUCUCUGAUUGAUUAAUAUUAGUACUAAUUAUUGUAUUAGUACAGUUUUAGACUAUUUUUAGUACUGUUUAGUACUUAGAUUAACUACUACAUACACUAUAGUCCUGUUUUAGAUUUAUUCUAUGUUAGGACUUGUGUAAUUAUUAGUAGGUGUGUUUAUAUUAUGUAAUGGAUUGCA
rnacentral:rRNA from 1 species